GCUACUCUCAGUUCGGAUUGUAGGCUGAAACUCGCCUACAUGAAGCUGGAGUUACUAGUAAUCGCAGAUCAGAAUGCUGCGGUGAAUGCGUUCCCGGGUCUUGUACACACCGCCCGUCACACCACGGGAGUUGGAGACGCCCGAAGCCGAUUAUCUAACCUUUUGGAAGAAGUCGUCGAAGGUGGAAUCAAUAACUGGGGUGAAGUCGUAACAAGGUAGCCGUAUCGGAAGGUGCGGCUGGAUCACCUCCUUU
rnacentral:rRNA from 1 species